UUCAUUUUUUCCUUCUGUUUUAGACUCUAUUGUAAAAACCAUAGUGGAAAUGAUGAAAGAGAUGAAGAGGAUGAAGAAAGAGAAAGCAAAAGCCGUGGAAAAUCAGGCACUGACCACAAUGACAUUCCUCAGCAGCAGCUCAAUGGAAACUAGGUUCAAGGGACAGAGUUAUAGAACUGGGAAUGGCUAAGACAUCAUAACUACUAAUUCUUUUAAAUUGUUUUCUAAAAUCAGGAGAGGGUUAGUAACUUUUUACUACCCACCUCUGUUAGAAAUUUCAUUGAACUGCCUGAAACGUUCAUGUGUGUGAGCCUUCAGUAAGUGGCAGAGUUUUACAUGUCAAUAUUAUGUAGUUUGUAGUCUGCAGUGUCUGGAAAAAAAAGAAACACUAUAUAAAUGAUAUGUAAUAUGUACAGUGUCAAAAGUUAAGGCAGACAUUGAAAUGAAGUAAGAUCUAUAUUUCUGAAUGAAUAAAAACCUUAAGAUUUGGAAUGUGUAAGUUUAGUGGAUUCAUGCAAUGAGGGAGAGUCUUGGCUAGUUGAAUGAACAACGUGGACAAGUUCAUGGUGGCAGCAAGCUGGUCCUUUGUGAAUUUUCCAUUUUCUUCAUACACAAGUUACGGAGGCUGUACCUGGGAAAGCCGCGCUCAGUUUUUGCUUGCAAAGCACACGGAAAAGGACUCGGUGUGCGCCGACGCACGCUCGAACAUUUCAGGUUGUUCCUGUUGCGGUUGCUCAUUCCGGCCAGCAUUGUUUGGGGAGAUUUACGUGAGCAGCUGUUGGUUGUGAGCUGGGAGCUGUAGAACUCAUGCCAAAGGGCUGCAGUUCGUUCGUGCCCUGGCAGCCCACCCUCUGCGUCCCUGAUCACCCAGAACACUUCACUAAGUGUGAUUAAAAGCUUCAUAAACAAAUGUUUGGACUCUGCAACCCAAUCUUACUUCAGAGUUACAAUGCUAACUCACUGGAAUUUAGCCACCAUAUCUGAUGCCCAUACCUCAAGUGUUCUCUGUUGUGUGGAACACUUCAUGUUUUGUCCAGAAUAUGCACAGAGGUCCCAUAUUCUGUAAGAAGAAUGAGGAAACAGCCUUUGUUCCUAGAUGGGUAUUUAUUUUUUAAUCUUAUGACCACUAUAUGAGAAACUUUGCUUAUCAUUUUUAUUGUUUUAGUGAUUAUUUUUUUCUUUCUGUCAAGUCAGCAAUCAUGUCAUGGAAUUCUACUUGCUGGAGUUUGAUGUUCCACUAGGGAAUAAUCAGAUCUAGUUUAUACCAAACCUAACAGAUCAGUCCUCUGACUGCUUUCAAGACACCUCGCCAUUUCUAAUGGCUAUUAGCCUGUCAAUUGGUCUGUUAAAGCACAUUCUCAGACUUCUCUUAAGUAAAACCAAAAAAAAAAAGCUUUGUCCACAAGUUUGUUGCUGUUGCAUCACAUUGUUUAGGGUUUUGACUUGUUUAACUCUGAACUCCCAACAAAGCUUCUAGAUUUGAAGGAAGGAAAUGAGCAAAAUUCAAUGAUUUAACUAUAAUACAGUUCUUCUGUGAUGGGUAUUGCAAGAACAGUUCACUUGUAACAUGAGUUUCUGUAGCGUUUUUUACUUGUAUUUUUAAAAAAAUUAACGUGUGUCAUUGUCUUCUUAUGCAUUCCCUUAAUGUCUUGAGGGACUCAAUUACUGUAUAUUAGUUUCUAACAUUUUACUUGUUAGAAUUCAAUUUGUUUGCUUUCCUGGGGAAUAAUGCAGUUUUGGAAAGAAAUAUUGCUGUGUACAGAAAAUAUUCAGUUACUGCUCUAAACAUGAUGCCAUUGAUCAUUUUUAUUUUGUAUUUGUAACUUUCAAAAUUAAAAGUGUGACUUGAAUUGCAAUGACAGAUCGAUUAUUGAAAUUGUCUAUCAGGGUGUUUAUUUCUUCUAGAUUAUAAACAUUUUUCAGCCACUCAGAACAGUUCUAGAAUGCAAAGUAACAUCUUUCAAUGUUGAAAUGCUUCUGGGUUUCGUGCCUCAGACAUGGCUCUCCCAUGGAAUAAAGGCACUUUGCAGCUACUGUAUUUUUAACCAAGAUUGGAUGACAGAUCCAUGGGGUAGAUCUGCCAGCAUACUAAUUGUAUUUGAGACUGAGCUCUAAAUCACUGUCAGUUGUUUAACAUGUUAUUCAGUGAUUCAUCCGAUGUAGAAUAUUGCAUGCCAUUCCAUGCCACU